rnacentral:misc_RNA from 1 species
UCUCCGUUGGUGAACCAGCGGAGGGAUCAUUACAGAGUUGCAAAACUCCCAAACCAUUGUGAACGUUACCUAUCCCGUUGCUUCGGCGGGCGGACCGGGCCCCGUGCCCGGAGCCCCCCGGCCCCCCGUGGGCGCCCGCCGGAGGUAAACCAAACCCUUGAAUUGUAUGGCCUCUCUGAGUCUUCUGUACUGAAUAAGUCAAAACUUUCAACAACGGAUCUCUUGGUUCUG